AGGAUUAGGAGGAAUUCUUUUAGAAGACAUAGAAGAAGCACUGCCCAAUUCCCAGAAAGCUGUCAAGGCUUUGGGGGACCAGAUACUAUUUGUAAAUCGUCCCGAUAAGAAGAAAAUACUUUUCUUCAAUGAUAAGAGCUGUCAGUUUUCUGUGGAUGAAGGCUGGAGUGCAAUGGCGUGAUCUCGGCUCACCGCAACCUCUGCCUUCCGGACUCAAGCGAUUCUCCUUCCUCAGCCUCCCAAGUAGCUGGGACUACAGGCAUGUGCCACCACGCCUGGCUAAUUUUGUAUUUUUAAUAGAGAUGGGGUUUCUCCAUGUUGGUCAGGCUGGUCUCGAACUCCCGACCUCAGGUAUUAUUAUUAUCCUCACUUUACAGAUGAAGAAAUGGAGGCAGAAAAAUUAAGAUGUUUGCACCACUUUGUGCAGGAAAUGUGGUAACUGAGGUCACAGCCAGGCCAUCUGGCUCUGAGGCCUGCACCACACUGUUGUGCUACUUUUGCAUUUACGGGAAAGGGCUAAGCACAGACAAAAUGUGAGUGCGUUAUUUGGGAAUUUUAAGCAAAGCCUCAUUGGUAAGUUGGCUCAUUUUCUUCCCUUCUAUGGCAGUUACACAGUUUUUUAUUCUUAACUCAUGUGGGACAAGGAAGGGUCUUUUGAAAUGAAAGGAUCAAAUCUGAGCUUUUAAAUUCUAGUCUGUUUUCUCCUCUUUUCUGCUAAGAGAGUAGAUUUCUAAAUCAGUUCUGAUUUUAUU
rnacentral:lncRNA from 1 species